CAGAGGGAGAGGCGCAGAGCUCCGGCUGGCAUUGUCACUCAGAGUGGACUGAGCCCCGGCACCUGCAGGACGGGUGAUGAGCUGAACUGUCAAACCUUCAUACUCUUUGAACUCUUCAUUAAGAAAGAACUUGCUGAGGAAAUUUAGUGGAGGAUGUUUCGAUAUCAAUAUGAAUCCACACGGCUAACUGUGGAAAUGGACAACAACCCAAAAAGAAGACGAAAUCGCAACAGACACAAUGACAAUGGAGAACGUCACAAUAAUGGACAUGGCUUUUGGCCAAGUUCAGAAACAUUUCUUGGCAUUAUUGGAGUUAUUGCAGUUGCAGGUUUAACUUUUCUAAGAUUGGUGUAGUGUCUGUACUUCCAGCUGUUCUGACAUUAAAUACUUUUGCAGCUUUAUAUGAAGCAAACUUACAGAUGUUACUGAUGUGAUAAUUGCACUGUUGUUUAUGCCGCUUACUAUAUUAGUGUAGUGAAGGAAUAAAUCAUAAGAGGUCACUGUUAUUCCUUCACUUUUUAUUCUUCGCUUCUCUUUUAACAAUGUAAAUAAGUUUGUUCUGUUUUCAUUGGAUUAUCUUUUAGUUUUAUAUUCGUAAUCUGAGAAUAAUUGUGCAGGGUGAGCAGAGCUUUUCUUUUGAAGGUCUAACAGUGGAAGGAUCAUGGAGUGCAUCAUCCACCUAUGAGAUACUGAGAGAAUCGUUGGAGUUCUGGAGAAUCUUGUUUUGUUGUAUUCUGAAAUCUCACCCCAGUCUAAUGAUAAGACAUUGUCUUCUAAUCAACAGUACUUGCAAAAUUAGUAUUUUGCAAGUACUGUUGUGUGAUUUCUCCCUCUGUAGAGAUAUUUUAUAAAACAGUCAAGAGAUCAAAGGUCAUUAUCAGACAAUCAGUUUGGGGACAAAAUUAUCUGCUGAUAGACCAGCUCUUUAUUUUUCAUAUUACAAUCACAACAUGCUAAAUGUAACUAACUUUAUUCUUUUGUAAGACCUUAAAAAGUCUUUUUCAUGUUUGCAGAUCAGAUUAGAAAAAUCCCAAGCAAUUUAAUUAGUCAUCUUCACAAAUUCUGUUGUUCUUAAUAAUAUUGCUGUUUUCUGAAGAGUCUCUUACUUGCAUGCAUUAAUAUGAAUUUAUUUAUCUGAAAACAUUACAGUAAUUCACAAUGUGGUUUUUGUAUGAAACCACAUAUUUAAAUCUUAUGUGUUGUGAGACAAUCACGUGGCACAAUUUAUGCACCAAUAGUUCCUUUGUGUUCCAAGCAGAACAGAAUGUCACUCAGACAAUCAUGUUUCAUUCUUUUCUUCUAACACUCUUAGGUGAAAACACGUGACUUCUUGUAAGAGUGAUGAAAGU